rnacentral:misc_RNA from 1 species
UCUCCGUUGGUGAACCAGCGGAGGGAUCAUUACCGAGUUUACAACUCCCAAACCCAAUGUGAACGUUACCAGACUGUUGCCUCGGCGGGGUCACGCCCCGGGUGCGUCGCAGCCCCGGAACCAGGCGCCCGCCGGAGGAACCAACCAAACUCUUUCUGUAGUCCCCUCGCGGACGUUAUUUCUUACAGCUCUGAGCAAAAAUUCAAAAUGAAUCAAAACUUUCAACAACGGAUCUCUUGGUUCUG